GACGAACGCUGGCGGCGUGCCUAAUACAUGCAAGUAGAACGCUGAAGGAGGAGCUUGCUCUUCUGGAUGAGUUGCGAACGGGUGAGUAACGCGUAGGUAACCUGCCUGGUAGCGGGGGAUAACUAUUGGAAACGAUAGCUAAUACCGCAUAAGAGUAGAUGUUGCAUGACAUUUACUUAAAAGGUGCAAUUGCAUCACUACCAGAUGGACCUGCGUUGUAUUAGCUAGUUGGUGGGGUAACGGCUUACCAAGGCGACGAUACAUAGCCGACCUGAGAGGGUGAUCGGCCACACUGGGACUGAGACACGGCCCAGACUCCUACGGGAGGCAGCAGUAGGGAAUCUUCGGCAAUGGACGGAAGUCUGACCGAGCAACGCCGCGUGAGUGAAGAAGGUUUUCGGAUCGUAAAGCUCUGUUGUAAGAGAAGAACGAGUGUGAGGGUGGAAAGUUCACACUGUGACGGUAUCUUACCAGAAAGGGACGGCUAACUACGUG
rnacentral:rRNA from 1 species